AAAAAAAAAGAAAUCAGUAUUAGAAACAAAUAGUUUCAGAGUGAUUCUCGAAUUAUCUUUGUGUGAUUUGUUGUAUUGAAAUUUUCCCACAAUAGAAACAAUAUACUUAAACAUUCUUUGGUGUAUCCGGUGUACAUAAAAAAAAAAUGUUUUGAUCAUUAAAAUACUUUAAUAAACAUAUAAUUUAUUUUUAGCACUUUUCAGCACUUAAGAAUUAAAUUUUUUCCAGGCUUUUCCGUUGAUAGAACAAAAUUUGUUUACAAAUUAGUUGGCAGCAGUGAUCUUUUCAUAAGGAGUCCUUGACGUUAUGUUUUAUUUUGAACAUUUAUUUCAAAAUCUGUUGCCAAACUUCCUCUUUUUAGCAGCUUACCGUUAUUCUAUAGCUUAGAACUUUCUAUAUAAAUAUACCCAGUGGUGUAGCAACCAUGGCGCGAAGAGUAAAAUUGCACCAUGACCCAUGACCUUUAGAGGUCCUUCAAAGAAAAAGAAAAAUUGUGUACAAGUUUAAAUGUAUCAGAUUUGUAUCAUGUACUAUUUUGUAGCUGCUGCUCAUGAGUAGCUCACUAGUGUUUGAAAAAAAAGGUUAUUACCCGCACUGGACUUCAUUUCUGUUAAUGUUCUAUUGCAGUAGGGCUCUAUUUGGUAUAAGUUACACUUGAACUACGGAUAAAAUGAGAAAGGGUGGGGCAUCAUCAUAUUCUCGAACCGAGGGC